AGAGUUUGAUCCUGGCUCAGAUUGAACGCUGGCGGCAUGCCUUACACAUGCGAGUCGAACGGCAGCAUGAUCUAGCUUGCUAGAUUGAUGGCGAGUGGCGAACGGGUGAGUAAUACAUCGGAACGUGCCCUGUAGUGGGGGAUAACUAGUCGAAAGAUUAGCUAAUACCGCAUACGACCUGAGGGUGAAAGUGGGGGACCGCAAGGCCUCAUGCUAUAGGAGCGGCCGAUGUCUGAUUAGCUAGUUGGUGAGGUAAAGGCUCACCAAGGCGACGAUCAGUAGCUGGUCUGAGAGGACGAUCAGCCACACUGGGACUGAGGCACGGCCCAGACUCCUACGGGAGGCAGCAGUGGGGAAUUUUGGACAAUGGGGGCAACCCUGAUCCAGCAAUGCCGCGUGUGUGAAGAAGGCCUUCGGGUUGUAAAGCACUUUUGUCCGGAAAGAAAUCGCACUUACUAAUAUUAGGUGUGGAUGACGGUACCGGAAGAAUAAGGACCGGCUAACUACGUGCCAGCAGCCGCGGUAAUACGUAGGGUCCAAGCGUUAAUCGGAAUUACUGGGCGUAAAGCGUGCGCAGGCGGUUGUGCAAGACCGAUGUGAAAUCCCCGGGCUUAACCUGGGAAUUGCAUUGGUGACUGCACGGCUAGAGUGUGUCAGAGGGGGGGUAGAAUUCCACGUGUAGCAGUGAAAUGCGUAGAGAUGUGGAGGAAUACCGAUGGCGAACGCAGCCCCCUGGGAUACACUGACGCUCAUGCACGAAGCGUGGGGAGCAACAGGAUUAGAUACCCUGGUAGUCCACGCCCCUAAACGAUGUCAACUAGUUGUUGGGGAUUCAUUUCCUUAGUAACGUAGCUAACGCGUGAAGUUGACCGCCUGGGGAGUACGGUCGCAAGAUUAAAACUCAAAGGAAUUGACGG
rnacentral:rRNA from 1 species